rnacentral:rRNA from 1 species
CCUACGGGUGGCAGCAGUGAGGAAUAUUGGUCAAUGGGCUAAGGCCUGAACCAGCCAAGUCGCGUGAGGGAAGACGGUCCUAUGGAUUGUAAACCUCUUUUGUCGGGGAGCAACGAGGCCACGUGUGGCCGAAGUGAGAGUACCCGAAGAAAAAGCAUCGGCUAACUCCGUGCCAGCAGCCGCGGUAAUACGGAGGAUGCGAGCGUUAUCCGGAUUUAUUGGGUUUAAAGGGAGCGUAGAUGGGUUGUUAAGUCAGUUGUGAAAGUUUGCGGCUCAACCGUAAAAUUGCAAUUGAUACUGGCAGUCUUGAGUACAGUUGAGGUAGGCGGAAUUCGUGGUGUAGCGGUGAAAUGCUUAGAUAUCACGAAGAACCCCGAUUGCGAAGGCAGCUUACUAAACUGUGACUGACAUUGAUGCUCGAAAGUGUGGGUAUCAAACAGGAUUAGAUACCCCUGUAGUC